rnacentral:rRNA from 1 species
CCCUGCGGCAGGCUACACAUGCAGUCGAACGGAUCCUUCGGGAUUAGUGGCGGACGGGUGAGUACACGUGGGAACGUGCCCUUUGGUUCGGAACAACUCAGGGAAACUUGAGCUAAUACCGGAUGUGCCCUUCGGGGGAAAGAUUUAUCGCCAUUGGAGCGGCCCGCGUCUGAUUAGCUAGUUGGUGGGGUAAAGGCCUACCAAGGCGAUGAUGGCUAGCCGGCCUGAGAGGGUGUACGGCCACACUGGAACUUAGACACGGUCCAGACUCCUACGGGAGGCAGCAGUGGGGAAUAUUGCACAAUGGGCGCAAGCCUGAUGCAGCCAUGCCGCGUGUAUGAAGAAGGCCUUCGGGUUGUAAAGUACUUUCAGCGGGGAGGAAGGCGAUAAGGUUAAUAACCUUGUCGAUUGACGUUACCCGCAGAAGAAG